AGUGAACGCUGGCGGUAGGCCUAACACAUGCAAGUCGAACGGCAGCACAGUAAGAGCUUGCUCUUACGGGUGGCGAGUGGCGGACGGGUGAGGAAUACAUCGGAAUCUACUUUUUCGUGGGGGAUAACGUAGGGAAACUUACGCUAAUACCGCAUACGACCUACGGGUGAAAGCAGGGGAUCUUCGGACCUUGCGCGAUUGAAUGAGCCGAUGUCGGAUUAGCUAGUUGGCGGGGUAAAGGCCCACCAAGGCGACGAUCCGUAGCUGGUCUGAGAGGAUGAGAGGCAACAUGGGAAGGGAGCAACGGUCCAGCCUCCUGCGGGGGGCAGAGGGGGGGAAUUUGGGAGAAUGGGCGAAAGCCGGACCGAGCAACCCGGGGGGGGGGAAGAAGGUCUUGGGUUGGUAAACCUUUUUUGUGGGAAAAAAAAAGAGGGGUAUGAAACCCCGCUUGUCCUGACGGUACCAAAAAAAAAAGCCCCGGCUAACUUCGUG
rnacentral:rRNA from 1 species